ensembl:lncRNA
GUUGCUAAAUUCUUUUGUAACCCCAUGGACUAUAGCCCGCCAGGCUCCUCGGUCCAUGUGAUUUUUCAGGCAAGAACACUGGAGUGGGUUGCUGUUUCCCUUUUCAAGGGGUCUUCCGAGCCCAGGAAUUGAACCUGAGUCUCCUGCACUGGCAGGUGGAUUCUUCACCACUGGGCCACCUGAGAAGGCCAGCCCUCAGACAACCUGUAAAAAUGCCCUUGAGGGAGAGAUGUCACCAGGCUUUAUAUGAAGCUCAGAAAGAGCCUCUCCACUGAGAUCACACAAAUCCCAGGAGAGGACCAGGAUCCUGCCAAGGGAUUCAUGAGACCCUGGAGCUGGCAAAGGUGGAGGAGAGGAGCAUCCCACACCCUUCAGACAAGGAGCUGGACAAGCUGUGAUUUCAUCUCAAAUAUUUCCUCACAUCCCACCAAGCAGAAGAAAAUGAAAAAUCACUCUCCCUCCUACCUAUGUGCACACAAAAGGAAAAACAAGUUUUUUAAGAAAAAGGAAACACUGGGAGCAUUUUUGAAGACAGAAUUGGACUGAAAAUCUCUUUCCCGAACCAAUUUGGAGGCCAUGAAUCAAAAGCCCUGGUGACAAAACUGCUCUUUUACC